UACGGAGGGGGCUAGCGUUGUUCGGAAUUACUGGGCGUAAAGCGCGCGUAGGCGGACCUGCAAGUCGGGGGUGAAAGCCCGAGGCUCAACCUCGGAACUGCCUUUGAUACUGGCGGUCUCGAGGCUGGGAGAGGUGAGUGGAAUUCCGAGUGUAGAGGUGAAAUUCGUAGAUAUUCGGAAGAACACCAGUGGCGAAGGCGGCCAACUGGCCCGUUACUGACGCUGAGGUGCGAAAGCGUGGGGAGCAAACAGG
rnacentral:rRNA from 1 species